UCAAGGAGCCGGCGCGUAUAGAUUCCGUUAUUAGGCAAUACUGGAUGGAGAGAGGAGCUCAGGGGAAACAGCGCGAGGGCGAGGCACCAAUGAGCUAAAAAAAGAAAAAAGAGGAUGGUUGCGCCAAGUGAGCUCGGCCGCCAUCAUGCUCUAGUUUCCCCUUCGCCUCUCCGCGUCCGCGACCAAGGAAGCGGCCUCUGGGAUGCUGAGGGGGUGUGUCCCCGAAUGAUUGGCGCAGGCAGCUCAGCCAAUCCUAGCUCGUCAAACGGGAAGCCCUUGACCAAUGAGGGGCGACGGCAGCGGCGAGGAAUUGGAGGGGCGGAACCGCAGCUUGAUGGGCACAAAAGUCAGCCAGUGAGAGCCGGAAGCAUCCUCCCUACGGCCAAUGGAGUGGGGCUCUGGGCGGGCUCCCGAGUGUUUGUGUUGUGGUUUUGGGGGAGGGAGGCGGAGGGGAAAGUUUGUUUAUUUUGUUUUUAGUUUCUGGGGUCCCCGUGUUUCUGGGAGGUGAAGCGGGAGGGAGUGACCCCCCGCGCCCCUUCAGUCCCCCUACUACGUCGCCUCCAUUGCUUGCGGAGAAGCGGGGACCGCGCGCAUCGCAGCGCAUCGCCUCACAGCGGAACGCCGCGCACUGGGAGCCGGCGCGGCUCGGCGGGUUUGGGUUUUUUGCACUGAAUGUAGUCUAGCCUCAUCUUCACGGGUUCGUGUUGCCCCAGGAUACUGUCAAAGGCAGUAUUUGUGUGUUUCUGCAGAGUUUUGCACAGAGUCUGUUCCCAUGCAAACCAAUGAGGGAGAAGUGUCGGAAGAAAGCAGUUCCAAGGUGGAGCAGGAGGAUUUUGUAAUGGAAGGGCAUGGCAAGACUCCACCUCCUGGUGAAGAAAGCAAACAAUUUCCAUCUUGCCCUCUUUCUACCCACAUAGCACUGCCUUCUUCAGCCCUCUACUUCUCAUCCUUAGCCUAAACGAAAGGGAAGGAAAGGGAAAGAGAAGAAACAUUGUAAUGCAGAAUGUUGAGCAAAAUAUGUAACUGUUUGUCUUUAUGUGUUGCCACAUCUCUUUUAAGUUAUUAGAGAUUAUGAAUAGUCUUUUGUAUUUCAGAAACCACUGGUACCAUGCUUAGUCUCUUCGGGUUCUUGGUUGCUUAAUUCUAAGAGAAGGAGGUGUGGGACAGGAUCUUUUAAUGCAAAUUUUGGUCAGUCCUGUGAAACCUCAGUCUGCUGUUUAUUCACAGACCAUUAGGGUAAAGUGGGAGCACAAGUCCUGUUUUUUUCCUUCUGGUUGAGGAUGCUGUGGUCGGUGUCCAGGGCUGGUCAUUCAAGAAUCACCAGCUGCCACUGUGGUUCCCAGCGACUGGUAGAACCCAGGCAAUGUACGUCUUCCCCACUGGUGACCUGCCUUUCUGCUUCCUCUGUUCCACCAUAUUCAGAAAAAGCCUCCAGAUGAUUAGCUGGAGUAAAUGUUGCGUGUUGCGUGGCAGUUUGUGGAACUUGGAUCUUUAAUGCUUGCACCACUAUUUGUGAGUAUGAUGUAUCUCUGAACGAUAACAUGUGCAGCCGACCUGGGGGCUACCUGCCCUCAUUGAUGCUCUUUUGUGAGAGUAAUUGACUACCGAGCAACUGCACAGCCGCCUGCGGCUGCUGCGAAGCUCCGCUGUGCUUAGACCGACCUGCUGUUGUUCUCUCUGCCACCACUGCUGCUCUUUGUAUUUUUAAUAAGUUGCCAAUUACUGGGGUUUUGCAGGGAUACCAGCAGUUCACUGAAAUGGGCGUAGGAAAAAUGCCAUUGCUUUUUAAUCAUCAUUUUCUCUCAUCCAGUGAAAUUACUGAUCUUAAGAAGACUCUGGUAGCUCUUACGUUGAAAGUACUGCUGCAUUUUAUCUUACCAAACAGCAUUGUUCAAUAUGCAGGCAUAUCUAGCACUUUGCCUCACAUACAUUAAUAUUGAUAAUGGUGUUAAUUUCAGGUGUAUUGCACACAUGUGAUUUAAUAGGCCAAUCGGCUGUUCCCGAGCACUCCUCUAAGAACCACACCUGGAGGGUGCUGGGCCCGUGGGGUUUUUUUUGCCAGUUGGUUGGCUUGUUCUCAUAGGGAGAAUUGUGUUCUGUUUUGUUAAAUGAUGUAACCCAAGUGCCUGGAAGAAGUCUAAUAAAUAUUUGUAGCAUCAGAGAACACAAACAGAUGUAAUUAAAUAAGUAGAUGUCAUUCACGGAUUAUUUGUUAACAUAAGGUGAGAUCAGUUUUUUAUGCAUUGAAACUAAGGAUUCUUUGGUAUUGACUGGAUGUCAAAAGAUUACUGGCACUCUGAUAUGGUGAUUCUGUGACUAAUAUAGUAAGAAAGAAUUUACACAUAAAACAGUAGUGUAAUCACGGAAAUUACAAGAUUAGUCAGAUGUUGACUUGCCCACGGAAGCAGUAGUAACCAUCAACCUAGAAGUUUUUAGGUCUGACUGAGGUCCAUUACUGAAUCUUGAAAGUGAGUCAGUUAAUUUGAAAAUCGACAUUUAAACAUUGAGAAUUUUUUUUUAAGUAAUUGAGUAAUUAUCUAAAAUUGCCAUUGUAACAAACCGAAAUAAUAUUGGUCUUUGUGACAUUCUUGGUUUACUAUAUUAUUUAAUUGUUUUUUAAAUGUAACUAUGGAAAGUGUUGAAUGUUUAUCGUCUGUAGAGUGUUUUCUUCUAAAUUAAUCAGAAGAGUUUUGAAACCCUGAAUGCAGUGUGAAUGCUGUUUUGAUUUGGAGAACCCAUCAGGUGAAUUUGGGCAGCCUAAGGGGAUUUUGAUUAUUAGGAGAUAAUAAUUCUUGUAUUCUGAGGUUAAGGUGGCUUUUAUUCUCAUCUACCACAAUACAGGAGACAAUACAAUGGUAUUUAAGAAGUUUUGCAGUGGAACCAAGUACUGGUUUUUAUCUCUAGAGCUACCUCAUUGGCUCCUUACCUCUUUAAGCCAGUUUCUUCACCUUAGAAUGAGGCUAAUAGAAUUUACCUCAGAGGUUUGAGGACUAUAUACUUAGGGUAGUGUCCAACACAUAAUGAGCACUGGAAUAGUAGAUACUAAUAUGGUUAUUAGAAUGUCUGAAUUCUACAUGAGAUUCUCAGUCAAGAGGUUACUGGGCAUGAGUAUAUGAUUAGGAACUGUUUCUAAAGAACAGUGUUUCAUCUUUUUUAUUUAAAUGAGUCCCCGUUUAAGAAUAUAGUUUUUUAGGGGUGCCUGGUUGGCUCAGUGGGUUAAGCCACUGCCUUCGGCUUGGAUC